rnacentral:lncRNA from 1 species
CUGGCCGCUCUGCAGAUUGGACACCAGCUCAUCGCCAACAUCGAGGCGAUGAAAGAUGCAAAGAAGGAAGCAGCCCAGGCAGAGGAAGGCCGUCAGGUUGAGGCUGCCCAUCUUAAGGAGAAGGUCACCAAAGUCACGAGUCUCCAAGAGGCACUCCAGAAGGAGGAACAAACUUCGACGGAUCUGAAGGCCAUUUUGGAGGAGG